rnacentral:rRNA from 1 species
UGGGGAAUAUUGCACAAUGGGCGCAAGCCUGAUGCAGCCAUGCCGCGUGUGUGAAGAAGGCCUUCGGGUUGUAAAGCACUUUCAGCGGGGAGGAAGGCGUUAAGGUUAAUAACCUUGGCGAUUGACGUUACCCGCAGAAGAAGCACCGGCUAACUCCGUGCCAGCAGCCGCGGUAAUACGGAGGGUGCAAGCGUUAAUCGGAAUUACUGGGCGUAAAGCGCACGCAGGCGGUCUGUCAAGUCGGAUGUGAAAUCCCCGGGCUCAACCUGGGAACUGCAUUCGAAACUGGCAGGCUAGAGUCUUGUAGAGGGGGGUAGAAUUCCAGGUGUAGCGGUGAAAUGCGUAGAGAUCUGGAGGAAUACCGGUGGCGAAGGCGGCCCCCUGGACAAAGACUGACGCUCAGGUGUGAAAGCGUGGGGAGCAAACAG